ensembl:lncRNA
AGUCAGGAAUAGUUUAAAUUAGGAUUGAAAAAAUUAAACUAGGUGAAAAGGGGGUGUAGCAAGUAGAUUUAGGGCAGCUCACAGCCUGGCGUAAAUGCAAGGUGCUGUCACACAGCUUAAGUUAUUUGUUUGAUUUAUUUUUAUGACAAAAUAAUAAGGAAACAUUGAAAACAUACAACCCGUUGAGGAGACAGAUAGGGUUGGGGAAUUGAAAGGUUUUGUUUGUUUAGCAUAAUUUCUUUUGUUAUAUUUUAGCUUUAACAGGGAACAUGCCUCUCUGGAGCUUCUCUCCUGAUGCUACCCUGCCAAAGACCCUUAUCCAUAGAGACUAUGUCAGCUCCCAAACAGACAGCAACAAACCAAAUCUAGCAAUAAACAACUUAAACAUCAAUAGUAACAAAGCAAGAACAAUACAGAAUCCACAUCUGAACCGAAGAAUAAAACAGUGAAAUGUGGAUUAUUAAAUAUUAGGUCUCUCACCCCCGGAAGAUGAUUGAAUAAAGAAAGACAGGUACUUAUGUAUGUCAGCAUAAGGUUGAGCCCAACAGAAGCAAGGCACCCUACAUGCACACAGCAUGCAGCAGGGGUUGCCAAAAUAAUAUAGAAAGCAGCACAUGUAGUGAGAGAACACCCACUAAAAGUUCUGACUACACAUAGUGUGGUGGCAUAUGUGAACUCGCAGGCGUUCACUAUGACAUCAUUAGCACAACAGAGACUGAGUAAAGUUUUAGAUGCUCCAAAUCUGACACUUACACAUGAAGGAAUCAAUAUGGCAGAUUUAAUGGGAUCAGGAGAACCUCAUGAUUGUACUAAGAAAGCAGAAGUUGAAGGGAAAGUCAGGGAAGAUUUAAAAGCAGAACCUAUCCCUGGAGCUGAGGAUUGGUUCAUAGAUGGCUGCUGUCAUCGUGAUGAAGAAGGAUCGAAAGCAGGCUAUGCUAUAGUCUGCAAACAAGGAACUGAAUUUGAGCCCACGAGGAACUCCAGCAGUGGAAGGAGCCACGCUGGAUGGGUCCUUACGAGGUCAUUGCCAGAACAACUACAGCAGUUCAACUAAAAGGGAAAGGCGAUACCUGGUAUCAUUGGUUGCAGUGUGCGCCAGCACAUGAGAGUUUGGUAGAGGAAAACUCCUCUACACCCAACACAGGUGGUAACGAGCAGAGGCAAAAUAAAUCCUCUCACCUGUGCAACGGGCCAACCAGUAGUCCACCUGGGAGGCCGAAGAAAGAAGAGCAGCAGCUGAGAAGGUCGCCACG